UUUAAAAGUUAACAUCGACAAAUAUUUAAAUAAUUAACAUAUGGAUGUAUAAUAUUACAAUAUUAAAUUAUAUCUAUUCAAUUUAUACUAUUUAUAAAUCCAAUGAAUCAUCUAUUGUUUAAAUUCAACUAUUGAUAGUCCAAUAAAAAUUUCUGGUAGACUCAAAAUUAUAGAUGAAAUGAUUUUAUAAAUUAACAUAUUGUUAGUCGUCAAGAGUUGAUUACAAUGACGUUCAAUAAGUUGUUCCUGGUUCAUAAAUGAUGUGUUUACAUACUGGUUAUCCAAACAGGAAUUUUAGGCGUAUUGUUGUAAUUUAGCGUCGAUUAGUUAGGCUUAAUAAUGAUAAAAUUAUAGAUUAAAUGUAACAUGAUUUUUUAGGAAUAUGUCCAUUUUAAAAAAAAAUCACACAUGAAUCAAAGUCGUGACUUCUAUUUUAAUAUAUAAGAUAUAUAAGAUACAACCACCCAUAAAUUUCUAGAAUAAUUACAUUUGCCAUUAAAUAUUUUCUUAGUCGACCCACAUUUUCUAAAGCUAUCUAACAACUUAACUUUAUACAUGAACUCAUUAACUUUAUACAUAAAGAAAACCAAACUCUGUGUUUAAGAUUAUACUCAUUAGGUCGGAAGUCGUCUCCAUCUUCGAUGAUUCAACGUCACUGUCUUAUCCUUUCCCUGAAAAAACAAAAUUCCUUACUCUCAACUUUUUACCUUCCAUAUCUCUUUAUCUCCGUCUCUUGUUUGCGCUCUGUUCAACGUUUCUAUACAAUGAAUCUUCAAUUUUCAUUAAAGCCAUUAACUCUCCGUCUCCCUUCCAUUACAAUUAAAGCUUAAUGCUAUCAAAACCGAAAUAACACCUCAAACCCUAUAAAUAGAAGAGGGUUGAGAGUGGAAUCAAGCUUCACCAGCACGCUUGGAGAGGUCGAAAAUUGUGACACAUCAUCACUCUACACAAUAUUGAGAAUGGAGAAAAUUGAGAAUAAUUUAAUUUCAUUCAUAGUGAUGAUGAUUAUUUAUAACUUUAACCUUUUAAUCGUACCUUCAGAAUAUUGAGAAUAAUUUAAUUUAUUCGGGUGACUAUGAGAGAUCUCGAAAGUCAUUGAGAUGUUGAUUGACGAGUUUGCCAGAUCCCCUUGAGCAGAUCAUCGAAAGGUUUGUAAUUUGAAUGACUUUUGCGUUUGAUUAAGUGUUUUCAAUUUUUAGGAUCAAUUAAUGGAAUCAAUUUCAUCUUCUCCAUUAGUCCAUUUUACUUCUGAAUUCAGUUUAUACAACGCUUGAGAAGAAGCAUUGAUUUGGUUUUGGGGUUACAUUCUUUUUGUCUAAUUUUGUAAUUUGGUUAAUGUGGUGUUAGGCUGGAGCAGGAAUCUGGGUUCUUUUAAUAUAUUAAGUACUUUGAGGAGAAAGGUAUUUCUGGUGAGUGGGAUGAACUUGAGAUGUAUAUGUCAAGGUUCAAUAAGGUCUAUUAUUUCGAGAUAGGGGCUGUUUGUUUCACCAUUUGUCAUCUCCAUCCAAAUGAUUCAUUUGUAUGAUCUAUUCAGAUGAUCCAUUCAGAUUUUUGUGAUUGUUUGUUUGUCCAUCCACAUGGCUCAUCUAGAUAAAUCAUCUAAAUGGAUCUUAUGUUUGUUUCUUUAUUUUCAUUUCCAUUCAAAUGAGUUUAGUAAACAAAUUACCAAAAUACCCUUGUGUUGGUUUAAUCAGAUGUUUGAUAUUAAUUUUAACUAUAUAUUACAUUUAAUUAUUUAGUUUAAUAUAUUUACAUUAUAAUUAUUUCAAAAUUAACGAUUUUCUUUUGCGAAAAAAAGAUUUUUUGGUUUUAGCGAGAAAACACAUUUUUUUGGUUUUGGCGAGAAAACAAGAUUUUUUGGUUCUGGCGGGAAAAUUUUUUUUUUUGGUUUUGGCGGGAAAACACGUUUUUGCGUUUUUGGCGGAAAAAUGUGUUUUUGCCGGGAAAACGCGUUUUUGCGGUUCUGGGGGGGGAAACAUGUUUUUGCGAUUUUCGCGGGAAAAUGAAAUUUUUCGGUUUUGGCGAGAAAAUGAGAUCUUUCGUUAUUGGCGGGAAACGCGUUUUGCGGUUUUGGCAGAAAAAUACGUUUUUGGCGGGAAAACGCGUUUUUUGCGGUUCUGGAGGGAAACACGUUUUUGCGAUUUUCGCGCGAAAAUGAAUUUUUUCGGUUUUGGCGAGAAAAUGAGAUCUUUCGUUAUUGGCGGGAAAACGCGUUUUGCGGUUGUGGCGGGAAAACGCGUUUUUGCGAUUUUGGCGAGAAAACAUGUUUUUGUGGUUUUGACGGGAAAACGCGUUUUGGCGGAAAAACAUGUUUUUGCAGUUUUGGCGGGGAAACACGGUUCCCCGUUUUUGGCGGGAAAAUGGGUUUUUGCGUUUUUUUGCGGUUUUUGCGGGAAAACGAGAUCUUUCGGUUUUCGCGGGAAAACGAGAUUUUUCGGCUUUGGCGGAAAAAACAAGAUUUUCGGUUUCAGCGGGAAAACACGAUUUUUUUUGUUUUGGUGGAAAAAUACGUUUUUGCAAUUUUCGCGGGAAAACGUGUUUUUGUGUUUUGACGGAAAGUUGUGUUUUGGGGUGUUAGCGUGAAAACAUGUUUUUUUGUGAUUUUGGCAUGAAAACACGUUUUUCGGUUUUUGCGGAAAAAUACGUUUUUUCGGUUUUCGCGGAAAAACACGUUUAUGUAAUUUUGACGGGAAAACACGUUUUUACAAUUUUGAUGGGAAAUUGUAUUUUUGGGGUUUUGGCGUGAAAAAAUAGUUUUUAGGUUUUUACGGGAGAACGUGUUUUUAUAGUUUUGUCAGUUUUCGUAUGUGACAAAAAUGAUAUUAUGUUUAGGUUUGUAAUUUGUGAACUACAUUAGGAGCAUAAUAGACAUUAUACCAUUUUGAAUGAACUAUCUCUAUUCAAAUGAUCUAAAUUGAUUCAGCUGAAUGGAUUUUAAAAUUAAGUCUAAAUUUCCAAAAGUCAUCCGGAUGAUCUAUCUGAAUGAGUUGCACUUUUAGUAGCUAAACAAACAAAACUCUCAUCUUCAUCCAAAUGACUCAUCCAGAUGGAGAAACAAACAGGUCCAUAGUAUGGGAAUUUUUUUUAGUUUCGGAAGCAAAGGUAUCUUGAAGGUCCAGAUCAGUAACAAUUUGUUCUUUUAACUGUUUUUUUCGAAUAUAUGGUUUUCCUAUGUUAUUCCUUGAAUUAAUGAUAUUGUUUGUAUGUUUAUUUCAUAAAUGACAGAACAAAAUCUGCCUAUGUUAUGCCUUGAAUUAAUGAUAUUGUUUGUAUGUUUAUUUCAUAAAUGACAGAACAAAAUCUGCUGCAAUAUUAGCCAAAGACUUGAAACUGUUGCGACUUUUAACGAAGAAUUGAACAAAGAGAUCACUCAGCUUCUGACUCUAGAUAAAUUUAGGUAAAUUUUGUUUUUGCCUCAAUAUAGUUGAAUUUUCUGAAAUGCAUGCACUUAAGUGUUUUAGUGUGUGUGUGUUUGAUAACUCCACAGGGGGAAGAGCAAUUGUCAAAAUAUGGUGAUACAAAAUCAGCCAUGAAUAUGAUGUAUACUAAGUUGAAGAAACUGAUCGAUGAAAAUCUUUUGUUUGAUGAGAAGCUUUCCUUCGCCAUCGGCAAGUAGGGGUGGGCAUUUCGGUUUAGUUUCGGGUUCGGUUUGGAUUCGGUUUGGUUUGGGUAAUUUGGGUUUUAUAAAACUCAAACCAAUUAAAACCAAAGUAGCUUUGGUUUGGGUUCGGUUUGGGUUUAAUUUGGUUCGGUUCAGUUCGGUUCGGUUUAGAUUUAGUUCGGUUUACAUUAUUAUGGUCUAGUUAUGUUCGGUGUAGUUCGGGUUGGUUAUAAAAUAUGAAGGCAUCAGUUUUAUAUUUUUAUUAAAAUAUAAUCAACUCAUAAACGAUAGAUUGAGAAUAUAAAAACUUAUGCUACAUGAUUUUAUAUAUAAUAGUAUUAUUUGAAUCGUAUUUCUAAUUUUUUUUAAAGAUAUGAAAGUUAUGAAAAAAUGAAAAACAAAACUUUAACUAAAAUUUGCAAUAUGUUAAUACACAUAUAUAUCAUAUAUAUUUUUACUAUAUAUAUAUAUAUAUUGGAUUAUCGGUUUGGUUCGGUUUAAACCCAAACCAAACCAAACCGUUCGGGUUGAGUAAAACAUGAACCAAUUGGGUUACAUAAAGAGCACGGUUUGGUUUGGUUCGGUUUAACUUCGGUUUGGUUGGUUCGGUUCGGUUCGGUUUGGGUUUUUUGCCCACCCCUAUCGGCAAGUAUUCCCGCCUGUGAACUUUGAUCAAUCAAAGGUUUUACAAAGUCUUGAUCACACGAGGCAAAAAAUACCAGUGAUAGUGCAUGAUGAAGAUGAGAAACUCUAACUCCUUUGUAAAGGACACGAUAAGUAAGUUAACAUGCGACUUCAGAAACAAACUUUUAACAUACGUAAACAUAUCCUUUGAACCUAUUUUAUUCCACUUGGUUCUUUCACCAGUGUUAUGUUUAAAAGAGUUUUCAAGAAAUUUGGAGAACUCAUGCUUGAUCAUUAGUAUAUCAUAUACACCUGAGAUUGGUAAUAUAAUACAUUUAAAUCGUAACUUCGGUAGCCUUUUAUAGAAUGUUACAGAACGCUAUUGCUAGCUUUAUUUGAAACUCAUGUUGGAUGUGAUUUUGAGUUGAGCAAAUCUUUUUUCUCUAGAUUUCUGAUUCUGGCAGCAGAAGCAAUAUACCACAAGUUGGCACAUUUAUAUUUAAUAAAUCUGUUGUAAUCUGUGUUUGAACCAGGUUAAAGUUGGAUGCAUGAGGCAAGAAGCAACAGUGCUUAGUAUUUGACAUUAAUGCAAACAUUUGUUGUGUAAAGUACAAUACUAGCUCAAGCAAUUUCAUUGUGACAUAUACUUUCAUUAUUUCACCAACUUUCCAUCUCACAUUGAUCCUUAAUGCAUGUCCAGCUACCCGAUCAUGGUCAGUUUACAACUACCACACAUUGUCACAUCGACUCUUUCAAAGCUAUAUUGGACAAAAAAAACUGUUCUUCCAAAGCCCAAAAAAAACACAAAAAAAUCAGAACACUAGACAAUCCAUUAUUAUAUAUAUAAACAUCUCCUUUCAUAACCCGAACUCAAACCUUUACAUAUCAAAUUCUCAGCUAAUCGACUUCACAACUUCGGGAGACUACUGAGGCCGUGGCAAAGCCGGAUAAAGGUUCCAUAGGAGAAGAGAACAAGUUGGUGCCACUCAUUCAUUGUAAGUGAUCCUGAACCAUUUGCAUUCCCAUUCCCAUUCUUAAGUAAAUAUUUUGCUUCUAAUCACUUCUCUUCUUUUGUAGUAACAAUACUACUGAGAAGACAAGUUUCAUGAUGAAAUCUACUAAAAAUGAAAGCUUCAAACUCAAGUGACUAUCUGCGGACGCAUAAGCCAGAAAAGGAGGGAUAACAAGCAACCGAGUUACAUCAGUGAGAAAGACUGGGAAACAAUUCUUGCGAAUUGGUCAACAGAUGAAGCAAAAGCCAAGAGCUAAUCAGCAGCUGCGUCUCGCACUUCUGCUCCUCCAGGGCUGAAGAUGCACGUCCAUGAUGCAUGACCACACACCUUUACAAAUAUUGAGUAUCGUAUGGUCAACUUUCCAUCUCUUUUUACUUUACCUUUUUUAACUGCUAAUUGUCUAACUUUCUGUUAUUCCCUUUGUUGUAGAUAAUUGAUGAAGGUUUGGAGGAACCACUUCCAUAUCCCGACUUUGUGAGGAAGGCUCACAUCCGCAAAGAUGGGACCUUCAUUGACGAACGAGCAAAGGCACUGAUCUUGGAGGUUGAGCAAGAGGUUGAAGAGAUGAUGUAAGACGGAUCUCCAGUUGGAGAUAGCCAUUCUGCCUCAACUGCUGGCACAGCAACUUCAAAGCACCGUGUCCUAAACCAAGGAUACAUCAAGGUAAUAAUCUCUCAUGCUCAUUAUCUUUGUUUUUUCUUACUCUUGUAUUGAACUUGUAACAAGAUCAGACUGCAUUUUUAUGACUGAAUGUUAUAUGUGCUAAUGCUAUUUUUGUCCUUUUCAGCUUGUACAAACACGCAAGGGCACCAUUUAUGGACUUGGUAGUGUUCAAUUCAAGAACAGAUGUCUUUCUGAAUCGGUCCCUGCUACACUCAAGCGAAGCCUGGACAUGGAGAUGCGGGUUUGUGGCUUGGAGACCCCUCACUUAGGAAGUCAAGUCUGAUUUUCAUGCUUUCAAGACUUACUUCAAAGAAGAGAUGACUAAAACUCAAUAAACUCUCAACAUGAUUCUGCAACUUCCACAGCCUCAAGCUUCCAAUCCUCAUGCCUCUACUGCACAACCAACUCAAGCUCAACGUCAAUCUCAGUCACAAGCUCAACCUCAAGGUCAAGGUUAGGCUCCAUCUCCAGCUCAGGAUCAGUCACAAGCUCCAGGUGAUUCACAACCUCAACAUCUCCUCACCAAUAACCAUUCUGAAUUAGAUAGGUGGUGCAAUGCAAAACUCAGUUUGUAGGUCAAGAUAUGGCUGUUUCUUGCCCAAAAACAAGAUUAUGUAUUAUGUUUUAAUGUUUUGAACCUUUUGAAUGUUUGAAUCUUUUGAACCUUUUGAGCUUUAAGAAGCUCAAUGUAAUAUAAAUUUGCUUUCUGUUUUUUUUUUUAAAAAAAAAUCUAAUUAACUUUUUUUUUAAAUCGUUGAAAUAUCUAUUCACGGAAAAAAAAGUUUAAAUCAUAGCAAAACAAACAAAAGAGACGAAAACAAUCAUCUCUGUUUCGUGGCAAUAUGCGACAAUAUAAUCGUAGCAAAUUUGUGGUAACUUGCCACAAAAACAACCAUCACUAUUUUUUAGCAACUUUUCCAUGAAAUCAUCGUGUCAAAACCGUAGCAACUUGCCACAUAAUAUUUCGUAGCAAAACCGUUUCAAAAUGGUACUAUUUUGCUACGAACCAAAAAUUACUACGAUCGUAUAGCUACGAUUUGAAAAUCAUGCUUGAUAUUUCGUGGCAAAGCCUUCAUUUAGUUACGAAAAUUCACCAUAGCCACGAAUACUGACCGUAGCUAUUUGCGUUUUUUUUACUACUGAAUAAUUAAAAACUAAAAGAAAAAAAUAUUACUCAUAAGAGACACGAAAAAAAGUCUAGAAAUUAAUCAACCAAGCGUAUUUAGAAUGGAAUAGUUGUUCUUUAUUCCUUGGCGCUAGCUUGUCCAUGUGAACAUAUCUGAUCCUUCAACGAAUUUUCACGGGGCAAACUUAUAUCAUCAUUAUUAUCAAGCAUUAUUUAGUCGACACCUGAUCUCACAC